rnacentral:rRNA from 1 species
AUUGAACGCUGGCGGCAGGCCUAACACAUGCAAGUCGAGCGGAUGAAGGGAGCUUGCUCCUGGAUUCAGCGGCGGACGGGUGAGUAAUGCCUAGGAAUCUGCCUGGUAGUGGGGGCUAACGUCCGGAAACGGGCGCUAAUACCGCAUACGUCCUGAGGGAGAAAGUGAUUGAUCUUCGGACCUCAAGCUAUCAGAUCAACCUAGGUCGGAUUAGCUAGUUGGUGGGGUAAAGACCUACCAAGGCGACGAUCCGUAACUGGUCUGAGAGGAUGAUCAGUCACACUGGAACUGAGACACGGUCCAGACUCCUACGGGAGGCAGCAGUGGGGAAUAUUGGACAAUGGGCGAAAGCCUGAUCCAGCCAUGCCGCGUGGGUGAAGAAGUUCUUCGGAUUGUAAAGCACUUUAAGUUGGGAGGAAGGGCAGUAAGUUAAUACCUUGCUGUUUUGACGUUACCAACAGAAUAAGCACCGGCUAACUUCGUG